ACUCGCUGCGCAUCUCGAGUCUAUUAAGAGGAAAAAAAAAAGGAAUAAAGAAAAAUCUGCAUGCCCAUUGUAAAGCAAACGACUAAAUGUUUCACGCGCGAUUAGCUCGGUAGAUGAUAUAUACGUCCCUCGUCAAGCCGCGCCGAUAAUACCGAAACGCGUUACAUAAACGUACGUAUUUAACAAUGAACAUAAAUUCAUAGAACGGCGUGGGCGAACAACGAAAUACUUACUGUGUCCCAUAAAACACGCCAGCGUACAUCGUACGCGACUUCCGCAGGACGAGUCAAUAGCGUGGACCGCGUAGACGUGAUAAAAAUCCUGAAGCACGUCUGAUUGGACCCAGCUUGCAUCGGCCUUAAGAGGCUUUACAAGGGUGGCGUCCAAAUGGCUGGAGGCCCGAAGUCACGCGGCCAUCGAGGGCCAUAAAAUACGUAGAUCAUGAGGAAAGGUGAAAACAGUUAGGAAAGAUAA